GCUCAGUAACACGUGGUCAACCUACCCUUAGGACAGAGAUAACCCCGGGAAACUGGGGACAAUAUCUGGUAGGUGAGAAGGCCUGGAACGGUUUCUCGCUCAAAAGGUGUUAGAACCACGCUUCUAACAUCGCCUAAGGAUGGGGCUGCGGCCGAUCAGGUAGUUGGUGAGGUAAUGGCUCACCAAGCCUAUAACCGGUACGGGCCGUGAAAGCGGGAGCCCGGAGAUGGGCACUGAGACAAGGGCCCAGGUCCUACGGGGCGCAGCAGCUACGAAAACUCUGAAAUGUGCGUAAGCGCGACAGGGCUAUCCCGAGUGCUGUCCGCUGAGGAUAGCUUUUCCCUAGUGUAAUGAGCUAGGGGAAUAAGGGGAGGGCAAGUUUCUGGUGUCAGCCGCCGCGGUAAUACCAGCUCCCCGAGUGGUAGGGGCUAUUAUUGGGCCUAAAGCGUCCGUAGCUGGUUUUGCAAGUCUCUUGUUAAAUCCAACGAUUCAAUCGUUGGACUGCGGGAGAUACUGCAGAACUAGGAGGCGGAAGAAGCCGACGGUACUCUUGGGGUAGGGGUAAAAUCUUAUAAUCCCAGGAGGACCACCAGUGGCGAAAGCGGUCGGCUAGAACGCGCUCGACGGUGAGGGACGAAAGCUGGGGGGAGCGAUCCGGAUUAGAUACCCGGGUAGUCCCAGCUGUAAACGAUGCAGGCUAGGUGUUAUCGUGACUACGUGUCACGAUAGUGCCGCAGGGAAGCCGUUAAGCCUGCCGCCUGGGAAGUACGGUCGCAAGACUGAAACUUAAAGGAAUUGGCGGGGGAGCACCACAAGGGGUGAAGCUUGCGGUUCAAUUGGAGUCAACGCCGGGAAACUUACCGGGGAAGACAGCAGGUUGAAGGCCAGAUUAAAGGUCUUGCCAGACAAGCUGAGAGGAGGCGCAUGGCCGUCGCCAGUUCGUGCCGUGAGGUGUCCUGUUAAGUCAGGCAACGAUCGAGACCCACGCCUCUUGUUGCCAGCGGCACUCCAAACGGAGGUCGGGCACACUAGAGGGACUGCCGCCGAUAAGGCGGAGGAAGGAGUGGGCCACGGCAGGUCAGUAUGCCCCGAAUUCCCUGGGCCACACGCGAGCUGCAAUGGCAGGGACAAUGGGAUCCGACCUCGAAAGGGGAAGGUAAUCCUUAAACCCUGCCUCGGUUGGGAUCGAGGGCUGUAACCCGUCCUCGUGAAUCAUGGAAUCCCUAGUAAUCGCGCGUCAUCAGCGCGCGGUGAAUACGUCCCCGCUCCUUGCACACACCG
rnacentral:rRNA from 1 species